rnacentral:rRNA from 1 species
AAGUGGAGCCGUAGCGAAAGCGAGUCUGAAUAGGGCGUUGAGUAUUUGGUCGUAGACCCGAAACCAGGUGAUCUACCCAUGGUCAGGUUGAAGUUCAGGUAACACUGAAUGGAGGACCGAACCGACUUACGUUGAAAAGUGAGCGGAUGAACUGUGGGUAGCGGAGAAAUUCCAAUCGAACUUGGAGAUAGCUGGUUCUCUCCGAAAUAGCUUUAGGGCUAGCCUCAAGUGAUGAUUAUUGGAGGUAGAGCACUGUUUGGACGAGGGGCCCCUCUCGGGUUACCGAAUUCAGACAAACUCCGAAUGCCAAUUAAUUUAACUUGGGAGUCAGAACAUGGGUGAUAAGGUCCGUGUUCGAAAGGGAAACAGCCCAGACCACCAGCUAAGGUCCCAAAAUAUAUGUUAAGUGGAAAAGGAUGUGGCGUUGCCCAGACAACUAGGAUGUUGGCUUAGAAGCAGCCAUCAUUUAAAGAGUGCGUAAUAGCUCACUAGUCGAGUGACACUGCGCCGAAAAUGUACCGGGGCUAAACAUAUUACCGAAGCUGUGGAUUGUCCGUAGGACAAUGGUAGGAGAGCGUUCUAAGGGCGUUGAAGCAUGAUUGCAAGGACAUGUGGAGCGCUUAGAAGUGAGAAUGCCGGUGUGAGUAGCGAAAGACGGGUGAGAAUCCCGUCCACCGAUUGACUAAGGUUUCCAGAGGAAGGCUCGUCCGC